rnacentral:RNase_P_RNA from 1 species
GAAGUGAGCCAGACGAUCGCUGCUGUGGAGAUCUCCGUGAUUGAAGCAGGGGAGGAAAGUCCGGGCUUCAUAGGGCAAGGUGCCAGGUAACGCCUGGGCGGUGCAAACCGACGGCAAGUGCAGCAGAGAGAAGACCGCCUUCAUUAUGUUUUCGAGCAAUCGGAAUCGGAGGUAAGGGUGAAAGGGUGCGGUAAGAGCGCACCGCAUGGCUGGUAACAGUUCAUGGCGAGGUAAAC